GUGAGGAAUAUUGGACAAUGGGUGGAAGCCUGAUCCAGCCAUCCCGCGUGAAGGAUGACGGUUCUAUGGAUUGUAAACUUCUUUUGUACAGGGAUAAACCUGCCCUCGUGAGGGCAGCUGAAGGUACUGUACGAAUAAGCACCGGCUAGCUCCGUGCCAGCAGCCGCGGUAAUACGGAGGGUGCGAGCGUUAUCCGGAUUUAUUGGGUUUAAAGGGUCCGUAGGCGGGCCUGUAAGUCAGUGGUGAAAUCUCAUAGCUUAACUAUGAAACUGCCAUUGAUACUGCAGGCCUUGAGUAAAUUUGAAGUGGCUGGAAUAAGUAGUGUAGCGGUGAAAUGCAUAGAUAUUACUUAGAACACCGAUUGCGAAGGCAGGUCACUAAGAUUUAACUGACGCUGAUGGACGAAAGCGUGGGGAGCGAACA
rnacentral:rRNA from 1 species